rnacentral:misc_RNA from 1 species
UCUCCGUAGGUGAACCUGCGGAGGGAUCACUACAGGCUUGUACAAGCUCUGAAACCACUGAUUAUCUACCUGAUGCUGCUUCGGCGGGGGGACCCAGGGCGGGGCCGUGGCCGCAAGGCGCCCGCCGAAGACCCCUAAUCUCCGUCGUCUUGAGAAUCUCUGAGUAAUUAGAUUAAAAAAUAAUAACUUUCAACAACGGAUCUCUUGGCUCUU